UUACAAAAAAAAUACAUGCAUGUUAAUUGAUGAGUAUAAUAAGGUAUAUAUAGCAAAUAUAAAUAAUUAUUUAUUUAAAUCUUUCAAAAUAACAUUAUAAGAGUUUAUUGGAAUCAAAAAAACUGAAAAAAAUCCGUGCCAAAGCGUGGCAGUAGGAGGUCGUGCAUAUCUGUCGGCACGCAAGCGUGCCACGUGUCGGCACGCAGGCCGUGCCGCACCGUGCCAGGGCCGUGCCGCCACGCCCCUGUGCCACAGCACUUUAAACCUUGGCUUACAUACAUGUUAAUUAAUAAAUAUAAUAAGCUAUACAUAGCAAAAAUUAAUAAUAAUUUGUCUAAAUCUUUCAAAAUAACAUUAUAAAAGCUUAUUGGAACCAAAAAAACUUAAAUAAAUCCGUGCCAAAGCGUGCCAGUAGGAGGUCGUGCGUAUCUGUCGGCACGCAAGCGUGCCACGUGUCGGCACGCAAGCGUGCCCGUGCCGUACCGUGCCAAGGACGUAACAGCACGCUCCCGUGCCACAGCACUUUAAACCUUGGUUCGUAGGUCCCGACGGAGUCCCGGUGCGAUUUUCGAAACUUCCGGCGUGUUAC
rnacentral:lncRNA from 1 species